GACGAACGCUGGCAGCGUGCCUAAUACAUGCAAGUCGAACGCCGUUGCGCACGGGUGAGUAACGCGUAGGUAACUUCCUCAUAGCGGGGGGUAAAUAUUUGAAACGAUAGCUAAUACCGCCUCCUGUGAGCUGGACCUGCGUUGUAUUAGCUAGUUGGUGAGGUAAACGCGCACCAAGGCGACGAUCCAUAGCCGACCUGAGAGGGUGAUUGGACACACGGGGACUGAGAAACGGGCCAGAAGCCCACGGGAGGGAGCAGUAGGGAAUCGUCGGCAAGGGACGGAAGUCUGACCGAGCAACGCCGCGGGAGUGAAGAAGGUUCUCGGAGCGGAAAGCUACGUUGUGAGAGAAGCGGUAACUAACCAGAAAGGGACGGCUAACUACGUGCCAGCCGCCGCGGUAAUAC
rnacentral:rRNA from 1 species